GGGGACAGGGCGGAGGUCAGUGCUCGGGGAAGCAUCUGGACUCCUCAGUAAGGCUGACCAUUCACAGGCAAAGGCCCCAGAAACAGCAGCCGUUCCUAACAGCCUGGCGGACGCUGAGUGCUGGGGGACCCUGCAGGGCCAGAAAGCCAGGGCCCAGGAACCGAGGCCUCUGCGGGUCCAAUGCCCCCUCGCCAGGCCCCAGCCCCUCUCUGACAGCCCUGCCCCUGGGUGACCUGCAUCCAUCCAGGCCCCACCGGCUCAUCAAGCCGGGAACAGCAGACGUCUGUCUGCUCCAGGACACUGGGCCAGGCUGGCUCGAGGGCCUGUGGGGUCGGACAUAGUCAGGCUGGGGAGGUGAGCUCGAGGACGUCCCCUCUCGGCCAAUCUGUGCAGGCGGUUUCCUCAGACUCUAUCACCCCCACCUGCUCAGCAGGUAGCUCUCUCCUUGGACACCUCACUCCCGCUGAAGACCAUGCUGCCUGCAGCCGCCCGUGAUCCACAGGAGGCAUCCAGAUACCUGAACUGCAGCAGCCCACCUCCUGGCCCCUAGCACCCGGCCCCGGCCCCUCCCAUCUGCCCGACAGCUAUGCUGGGCCCUGUGCUCCAGGGCCACAGAGAGACCAGGUGGGAAGACGUGUGCUUUGCAGGACGCCUGGCCCGGCAUCAGGAGGGCCCCUCGCCUCAUCGUCCUCUGUCCAUUA